rnacentral:tRNA from 2 species
AGGAAUAUGUCUGACAAAAGAGUUACUUUGAUAGAGUAAAAUAUAGAGGUUAUAAUCCUCUUAUUCCUA